AGUGACGUAAAGCGCAAACAAAGUUGGACUUCCUCAGGCCCGAAGAAGAUUUUAUAGCUGUAUGACGCAUUUAUUUAUUUUUUUGGGGGGGAUUACAGUUCUUUUUGUCAUUGACCGGAAUGAAGUAGAGAUUUUGGAAGCUAGGAUUACCUUAGAGAGCUCACUUAUUUACAUUUUUGUACCUUUGGUGUGAAGUAAAGAAUGUUGUUAAUAUUUAUUUUAGUUGUCAACAGGUGAGAUAAACUCCCUAAGGCGUGGCAUUAAUAUCUAUAAUGUCCUAAAGUAUUUAGACAGUCGGGUAGGCUGGAGAAUGCAUAAAGCAUGAGAUAAUUAAAAAGCAGGUGUAGAUGUGGUCUAAGCAAAUCAAAAGAGUUCAAACGCAACGCAGAAUUACAAUCUAUGGAACAUAUUUAUCAAGAUUAUGGGGGGGACGUUUAAGUCCGGUUACAACCUAAUCGUGUAGUAAUUCUUACUUUGGCUUUGAUUUUCGGUGAUGACGAUGGAAAUAGAUCAAAUUGUUGUAUCCUUUCUUAGACCAACUACCCUGGUUACUUCAAGACCACCCGCUGCCCCUCACAGGCACCGUGUUGGAACAGCUCAAAAAACACGCUUAGUGAUGCCAACAAAAUAUCCCUAUUGGAACAAUUUCAUUCAAGCGCCCUGGCCAUCGCACAAAAGUGCACAAAAGUGAAAAACACAUCAAAUUGACAACUAAGUCACGAGUUGGCACUGGGGAAUUGAAAGCUGACGCUUGCGUGACGACCAGCAGAGAGCCAGACCAGGGUCUCCCGUCACCGGCGUCAAAUGACCUAGAAAGCACAAAAUACAAAUAUGUAAUUCAAGCAGGCAGCUGCGUCAGCAUGCGUAGGCUGCAAAGGAGCGAGUAAAAGUUUUUUUUCCGUGCUGAAAGAGAGAAGAGAAGAAGCAACGUUUUGGCUGGACAGCCUUCUUCUUCUCCACAGCCGAAACGUUGUGUUUCUUUUCGUCUCUUGUCAGCCUGGGAUAAACCUAUUACUCGUUCCUUCGCGGAUAUUUAAUUCCUGUUGUCCCGCAAAUGAGGCUCAGGGGGGGGCUCGCUUUUCAAUCUGUUUGAUCGGAUGAAACAGAUGCAUGUUCUUUCAUUUGAAUCAGAAGUAUCCCAAAACGAAAACUCUCCAAAAAGUCUAGCCAUGUCACACACACACACACAGAGUGCAUUGGCGUCCCCUGACUGCGCGUCUAGUGGAUUUGUUGACCUGCAGCAUUGCCUGUUAUAUAUAACUUAGCGGGAAACGCAGAUACAGAGUGCAAGUGAUAAAAAGCAAGUGAAGGUCCAGCUCACCGGGUCGGGGCGAGGCGCGUCACUGCCGGCUCCGGCCUCCAGGUGUCGCUGUCUGCCAGGCGCGUCGCUGUUUCGCCCCGCCCCGUCUCUCGCCUGUAUUUCCGAAGAGCGCUGUCACAUGCUCGCUGAGUGGCUUGUUGUGACCAGGAAAGAAAGAAGAAUAAUAAUAAUAAAAAAAAGUCUUACUAGGCAUUGGGCUGUAAGGUAGGUUUACACUCGCGUCUGUUGUGUUUGUCAACCAAGGGGCGGAAGACGUGGAGUCACCCGUUCGGUAACUACACCAGUAUUUGUUUAAGGCCAUCGUGACUCCCGGAGUCUGGCCCGACCCCGUUCCUGCCUGUUCUGGAGAGGUGAUCCGUGUUUCGUCAACUCCCCGUGUAGGGGCGGCUCCCCCCGCGACAGCGUGGCCGCCUGUUGAGCCGACAUGCUGGGCAAGAAGAACAGAAGAGCCCCGCUGCCGAAAGGCCAGGGCGCCGCCGCGGCCAGGCAGGUAAAUAACUCUUCACCUCUCCACGGGAGGAAGUGGGUGUGUGAACGCAGAGACCUUGAUGUUGUUGUUGUUGUUGUUGUUGUUGGAAACAAAUGGUUCUGACGAGCAGCUGUUCCCCCAGUCCGGUCAGUCUCAGGCAGGCUGAUGGGCUGGAAAAAUGACCUGUAAAUCCUGAGCAGAGGCCAUAAGUCGUGCAGCCAUGUAGGAGAGCUUUGGUCCUUCAGAGCCGAAGGGCAAAAA